rnacentral:lncRNA from 1 species
CUCUCUUAGGCCUUCACACACACCCAAAGCUUUUCACUCUUUCUCUCUUACAUGGAAUGUGGUUGUAGACCAAGUCAAAAUAAGAAUUAGUUUGGAUUUCAAAUUUUAUGAGAUAGAAUUUUAGGAAACCAAAAUUUUCCUUAUUGCACUGAUUUUAUCCAAAUUUUUUCUGAGAUUUUCAUAGCUUUUAUGGCACAUAUUGUGUGCCCUUUGCUGGUGGUCCAUGAUAGAAAAAGAAAGAGGGCACCCCUUGUCUUGUCCUGUUUGGAUUUUUCUUGACUAGGUAUUUGACUUAGUCAAGGAUUCUUCAUAUCUCUUUAUUUAAGAUGAAUUUCUUCAUGAAAUUUUUGUGGAUUACAGAGCAUUGAGAGACCUUUGGGGCGUGUGAAAAUCAAGAAGAAAAAGUGUUGGAGUGUAGAGAUAUAAUAGACAUAAAACUAAGUGUCUAGAUGAGAGCAAAGAGAAGAAGAAGAGGGUCUUCUUCUAGGAUUGCUGAGUUCACCUCUUCCCUUCCUCCAUCUGUGAGUUUUCUGAGAGUGUCUCACAUCUAAAACUCCUUCUCCUACUUCUCAUCUUUGAAAGAGUCCAAAUCAAGAAAGAGGCAUCUGAUCGACCAUCGAAGAAGGAUCAGCAUAGUACUAGC